rnacentral:rRNA from 1 species
GACGAACCGUGCGAACGUUAUUCGGAAUCACUGGGCUUAAAGCGCGUGUAGGCGGGCCGCCACGUCGGCUGCUGAAAUCCCCCGGCUCAACCGGGGAACGGGCACCGAUACGAGCGGCCUGGAGGGGGGGUAGGGGGGCCUGGAACUUCCGGUGGAGCGGUGAAAUGCGUUGAGAUCGGAAGGAACGCCGGUGGCGAAAGCGACGUGCUGGCCCCUCU